UGAAAGCGGCAGCAGCUUUGGAGGACAAACCAUUCCUGCCAAGGAUCAGUGGCCACAGCCCAUUACUCAGUGAAGAUAGACUGAGCACUGCUGAUGAGAGCAUUUGUAAACUCAGUUUUACUGGGUCUGGCUCACAGAGGAAAGGGAAAUGGUCCCGUGUGGCCUUUGGCUGGUGGGAGAGUUGGUCAGUGUUUGAAACACUAGAAGAGAGCUGAGGAUGCAAAUGUGGUACAGAUGGAAGGGAAGAUGAAGCUUGAGGAACAUCAAAAGAGGACCUGGAGUCAGGAUUUUCAGGAGUGCCUCUGGACUGGAUGAACUCGGGUGGGAUCAAUUUACCAUCUUACAAGUCGAGUCACUGGAGGCAGCUGCAGCCUGGUUUGAAUGGGAGGAUCAGG